rnacentral:lncRNA from 1 species
CGAACUUCAUCGAGGAUCUAGUUCAGAAAUGGAAGCUUCAUUGACUGAGACUUGAACGGUUUCUCGUUUAGAUUGAUUGGAGAGUGAGGAUGACUGAGACUUCGUUUCUGUCUCCAUGGUGGAAUGCAUGGAAAAUGCAGGUCUCGAUGGCACUGGAAGAGACAUGGAAUAGCUACCAAGCAUGAGAACCACAGAGGCCAUGGUUGGUCUGUAAGCAAUAUUGUCUUGAACACAAAGCAACCCAAGAUGGAUACAUCUCAUUAUUUCAAUUCUGGAGCAAUCCCUCAGGAUUGGAUCUACUACUUCUAAAGCAGUUCCUUCACUCCAGUUUCUCCAUACCUGCAAAAGUCGAGGAAUAUGAACUUACAUUGUGUUUUAGCAAGUUCUAAUCCAGUAAUACCAUAACCACAGUAUGCAGCUUACAUGGGUUAGAAGAGAGUCUCCCACUUCUUGGUUGGAGAAGCUACUGAUUUUUUUACCACUAAUGAUUUCCAAAACCAACACUCCAAAGCUGUAAACAUCGGAUUUAACUGAAUAUUGUCCAUGCCAUGCAUACUCAGGAGCCAUGUAUCCACUGCGGACAAAUAAAUCUUAAUGAAUGAAUUUAAAUGGUAGCUAAUCCUCUAGAAGAAGUGCUAAUGCUUAGGAUCUUUGAGUUUUAGAUAUCACAAAGUUAACAAAUAACAUGUAGAAACAGAUCCUUCUAAAUGCUUACUAGGUCCCAACGACUUUGCUUGUAUCAGCUCGAGUUUGAUCAACCGUAAACAAUUUCGCCAUUCCAAAAUCUGAGAUUUUAGGAUUCAUCUCUUCAUCUAACAAUAUGUUGGCUGUUUUUAAGUCGCGAUGGAUGAUUCGGUAUUGAGAAUCUUCAUGAAGAUAAAGAAGUCCCUUAGCUAUUCCGUUUAUAAUUUUGUACCUCUUCGUCCAGCUUAGUAGCGAACGCUUUACUGAAUCUGCGAUUAAUCAUGAAUUUAAUAGUAAUAACUAGAGAUUAUCAACUUUUCACCUCUAUAGCAUGACUUGAGUGGCAUUCUACCAAAUAUAUUAAACCAUACCGAAUAUAAAGUUGUCAAGGCUUGAGUUAGGCAGAAACUCAUAGAUGAGAACCCUUUCUUUUUGUUCCAAGCUAAAACCAAGAAGCCUAACCAAAUUCCUGUGUUGUAGCUUCGCCAAUAACAUCACUUCAUUCUUGAAUUCUUGUUGUCCUUGUCCCGAAUUUUCAGACAGCCUCUUUAUAGCUACUUGCCGUCCAUCCUCAAGCUUACCCUGAUAGUAUUUGUAACAAAGAACAAUGAUAGAAACCAACUUUUAUUUCCUAUUAUUUCUUGGAAGCCAUCAAACUGGAGGCUUCACUUUCAUAUAUUUAUCAAUUUUCCAAAUCUUAAAUUACCUUAUAAACAGGACCAAAUCCACCUCGUCCCAGUAUGUUUGCAUCCGAGAAGUCUUCUGUUGCAACUCUUACUGCAUCAAAGUCAAACUGCAACGAUUCUACACGGGUCUUGGCAUCUGCAGGUUAACACAGAACGAAUUAAGGCUUGAGGUUAAAGGCAGGGAGGUCUCAUGCCAAAAAAAAAAAGUUAUAACAAAUGAAAACAAGAGGAAAGCACUUGCAACUUUUUUGCUCAUUUUUAUUUUCUAAAGUAUAAAACCAUGCUUAAACAUUGGAAGAAGUACAUCAAAAGAGAGUAGAGGACCAACUUACUUUGAUCAUCCUGCUUGGGUUUCGCGAUCCUUUUACGGAGAAUAGCUACUGCAAGUAUGACAAGUACUGCCACCAAGAUGACAAUUGGAACAAUGAUAAUGACUAGGGUCUGGGAUGAACGGUGGCCACCUUCCUCUGCACAAGCAACAACUUUUCAUUUACAUCAAUUUCUUCCUGAAACCAGCAUGCCGUCUAGCAGAUCGGUAGUUACCUUUUUUGAUUGUGUUCACCGACUGUGGCGGAGGACUAGCAGCUGGGGGUGGAGGACUAACAGGUGAGGGUGGAGGAUAUAAGGAUGGGGCUGUAGUAGAGUCAUUGGGUGUAUAGAAAGGAUACAAAUCCCAGCGGAAAUAACAGCUAGGCCUCGUAACAUAACCUCCUUGCUUCCCAUGGCAACAGCUUUCAUAGUUACUCACGGAUUGCCUUAGGCAGGAAUCACAAUCCUCGUGUGAUAAAUCUGGAGUGCACUGCAUUAGCGCAUAUAUCUUUUGGAAUACUGUAAAGUCUGUUUCCCCGGUUGCAUACUUAAGAGUAGAAGAGCCGUUGGAAGCGUUUCUCACCACUGUGUCCAUCAAACUCUCCCAAACCGUAUCAAAUUCUGUUACGUUAGAUUUGAUGUCGCCCGUAUUAUAGCCUGCCUCAGGGUUUCCUAGCUCCUCCAGGGUUCCAUAAAACGAGCGAUCUGCAUAGUGUACAUGACAUGGUUGCCCUUCCCAUGAAAGGGCUUCCUUCUGGUUGGGACAGUUAGCUAUGAGGUCGUGGAUUGUAGAAUUGACACAUUUAUAACAAUCGUCAGGACUAGAGUCUCCUCUGCACAUACCAAGAGCGUAAACUUUGUAGGCGUUUUGGCCAACAUUGGCAGUGAAGAAACCACCUUUUGCAGAGACAUUCGGUGGGAGAGAAGCAAGAAUAAGGUCCCGAUUUUUACCAUAGGUACUAUUUAUGGUGAAAUUACCAGUGUCGAAGCAUCUUAUGAAAGCCUCAACAAGACUGAUGCUGAUAAGCAGAUGGGAGAGAAUUGAAGAAAUAUUUGUAAGUUUAACCCACAUUUUGAGGUUGUAUAAUUUGAAGGAAACGAAACCCAAAAGAAAGAAGUGGGAACUUAUUAUUCCAGAUUUUUCAUGGCAGAGAAGAGAUCAGGGAUUGAGUCGGAGAAAGAGUCAAAGACAACUCAUUAAAGCAAAAGUCUUGAAGCUUUUAAAAGUCAAACGAAACUUGGCCUUUAAUUCCUCAGUCGUACCUAUAGGAGAAAGAAAGGCGUGGUCGGUGGAUAAUCUUCUUUUGGGGGUCCCUUACUAAUUGAAUGUAAUGUUUCUUCCUGUAGCAGAUGGAGGUUGAAGUUAACAGUUGAAAGACGCGCAACUCAAAGUCUACCUACCAAACAGUAUUAAAUGUAUCAGAAAAGGCUUAAUUCAUUCAAAAAAUCAUCCAAAACUCAUUGAAAUUCUUUUAAACUUAAACAAUAUAAAUUGUGACCCUUUUUUUAAUUUGUGAGAUUUAAAUUUUUUUUAUUUUAGAUUAUCAAAUUUUAAAAUUUUAAUCACUAUAUUAAAUCAAUGAAUAAUGUUGAUAUGAUCAUUUUUCAUCACUAUAAUAAUUUUAAUUCUUUAUUUUUUAUAAAUUUUUAUCAAUUUAGUCCUAAUAUUUUAAACAUAUUAUUUAUAAUUUUUGUUAUUUGGGAAAUAUAUAUUUUUUAAAAUAUAAUUUCAGAGAAUUUUUGUAAAUAAAAAGUAAAAUGUCAUAUUCAUACAGUUAGAUAUUAUAAGAUAUUUGAGAUUAAUAAUUGAUUUGAAUUAUCGUAUAGAUUAAUAUUUACAUCAACCGGAAAAUACUCGCAGAAAAAUAAAAAUUGCAAAGUUGUCGCUGAUGCAAUCAUAAAACAACUAAAAGUUUGAUUAAGGUAAGUAGACCUAUCAAUUAAUAGUAUAGUUACGGUGAGUAUAGAUAUCGUUCCCACGAAGACUAAAAGUACUACUAAUUAUCGUCUUUCUAUUAUUUAACCAAUAAAUUUGAGUGAUCAAUUAAAAUUAAAAUUAAAUAAUUUAAUUAACUACGAACACUACAAAGAAUAAUUUAGGAAAAUAAACAAUUAACAACUAAGAAACGAAACAAUACUCAAGAAAGAAUUCAUCUAGACUUCAUCUGUCUCUAUUAAUCUAAAUUACGCAAUUUCUUCACUUAGUAUCUUGAUCUGUAAAAAUAUCUAAAUUAUGCUAAUAUCUCUCUUAAAAGAAUAAGAACAACUGACUCUAGGUUGAUUAAUUGAAAUUUUUUUCAAAUUAAAACCCUGUUAUUGCAUUAACUCAAUCUAUAGAUUUCCCUAUUAGAUUUGACUCUAAUAUGGUAGAUUUACAUCGUUCUAUUUCUAGAAUUGCAUGCAACUCCACUUAAUUACGCAUGAUCUACUCUUAAAUAACGUCUAUUCCUCCUUUGAUUUAAGCAAAUCAAACAUGAAUCAAUAAUCUAGAAAUAUCAAACCAAGAAUUAAGCACACAUAAUUCUUAUUUGUGUCCUAAUUACAAUGUCACUAUCUUUUUGUGUCCUAAUUUGACCGAAAUACGAGACAUACUUCACAAAUAUCCACUUUGACUCAUGUAACAACCCAUUUUUAAUGAAAUCAGAAUAGUAGUUUUGGGACCACAAAUCUGACGAGUAAAAUUUGAUUUUACUAUUAUUUUAAUGUCUAUGGAAUGUUAGUAAGGUUGUAUUAAAAUUUCAUUAAGAAAUUUUGAUGUUUGCAUGAUUAAUUAAGUGAAAAGGACUAACUCGUAAAAAAGUGUAAAAUUAGAGUUCCAUUAGUUAAAAGAGUCAAAUGACUCUAACACUUUAAAGUGAGUGGGCUUAGAUGGUAAUUAGACCAUUUCAAUAGUUAGUGGAUAUUUAUGGCAUGGUUUUAUUGAAAUUUUAUAAGAUUUAAAGGUUAAUAAGGUAAAUAGGUAAAUAAACUUAAAACUAAAAAGAAUUAAACAAAGUAUCAUCUUUAUUUUCUUAACCUAAACCGAUUUUAAGGAAGAAAAACCUUCGUGGAUGAAUCCUUCAUUUGGCCAAGCUUCUUUUACUGCAUGUAAGUGAUUUCGAGCCCGGUUUUUAAUAAUUUUAUGUUUUUGAGGUCAUUUCAGCUUAAUCUAGCUAGUCUAGGUAUUAAUUUGCAAUUAUGUUAAAGGUUGAGGGACUUUCCAUGAAUAUUUUUAAAUUCUUUUUGAUGUUAAAUGAUAGAUUGUGAACCUUUGUUGAGAAAUAAACAAGUUUUGUAAAUUGAUUUUUGAUGAAAUUUACAUAUAGGGAUUAAUUUGUAAAAAUAGUAAAAUUUUAUGUUAAAUUUAUGAAAUGAUAAUUGGUAUGGGUUGGUUUAAGUCCCUAGAGAAUUCAUUUAGCUUGAAUAGGGAAUUAAAAUGCUUAGAUUUCAAUUUAUGAGGUUAAGGACUAAAUUGUGAAAAGUUAAAAUAUUGGGGGUAAAAUAGAAAUUUUUCAUAAAUAUGAAUUGUGGACUAAAUUGAAUACUAGAGUUAUUAAAUGGAUUGAAAAUUAUCUAUUUCGAUCAAGAUAGACCACAUACGGCCCUAGAUCGAGGUAAAGAUAAAGCUUCGGAAUAGCUCGUUUAACUUUUACGUCCUAGUUGUCGAGGUAAGUUCGUAUGAACGAUUGGUAUUUUCAUGUUAUUAAAAUGUAUGUUAUUAUGUAUUCAUAAUGUAAUUGAAUGAUGCAUAUCCAAAUCAAUACUUUGAAAGUUAUCAAGUCCUGGUUGAAUCUUAGGAAUUCAUAUUAUACAAAUGACAUGUCAUUAGGGAUUUCAUGUUUCGGGUGCUAGUCUUGAAUGUCCUACUAAUGGUUGAGGUCCUACAUUUGUUGUAGAUACUCCACAGCUCGUGUGAGCAACAUCGUGUAGCUUACAUUCUGACCAAGAACUUGUAUGCGCAGGCCCACAGCUCGUGUGUGCAGGCCCAUUUCACAGCUCGUGUGAGCAACGAUAUAAAGGAAAGGUUACAGUUAUAUGUUUAAGCACACUUCGUGUGAGCUUUCUUGAGUAGUCGAUGAAAUUCUAGAUGGUUCAACUGGUAUGAAAAGGAAAUGAAAAUGGUAAGUGCUCAAAUGUGAUGUAUCAUGAAUCUAUGAAAAGGAAUGGUGAUAUAAAUUAUAUGAAUAGGCUUAUGAAUCUAUGAACCAUGUAAAACCACACUAACUUGUGUAUUGAUGAUGAUGAAUAGGCUUGUGCCAAGCUUGUGGUUUGGGUUGUAUUAUGUUUAUACUUUGUGUUUUGCAUUGAAUGGUAAGUUAUGUUUUAUUUUUUACGAACUUACUAAGCACGAAGUGCUUAUGUAGUUUCUUUCCUAUGUUUUAUAGAUUAUCAGAAGUUCGGUCAUUUUGGAAGCUCAUCAGAGAUCUAUCAUACUAUCCAGCAUAAAUAUCAGUAGUUUUUGAAUUUUUUGGCCAAUGUUAUAAUGGCAUGUAUAGGUGGACUUGUAAUGAUGUCUAGUUGAAUGUUUGAUGGAUGAUUUGGUAUGUAUAAGUUGUGUAAGUUAUCUUGGUUGAUAUCUUUUUGGAUUGUGUCGUUUUGGUUAACGUAUGAUGCAUGUUUAGAAUGAAUCAUAUGGUAUGUUUUGAAAUGAUAUGAUAAUGGUCAUUUUGUGCCAUGAUUGGUAAGUUUUGAGCUAGUAAUUGAUUAUUGAAAUGUGGUAAAAUAUACAUGUUUAGGUAAGUGUUGUUGUAUGUGUUUGAGGUGCCUUUGAAUGACAUAUUGGUUUGUUGAAAUAGGACUUUUUGAAUGGAAAAUACAUGCAUGUUUCGAUAUAGUUUGAUGCCUUGUAAGUGUGCACCCAUUUUUCAAGUGAUUAUACAUGAAUUGGUGUUAGGAAUGGCUUGUUUUAGGUAAAUUUUAGGUCCACACGCCCUAAGACACGAGUGUGUGACUCAAUCGUGUGUGACACAUGGCCUGGUGACACGGCCGUGUGUCCCCUGAAGGUUCCUUUGCAUGCAAGUCAAUAAGGUACACGCCCUGGCACACGGCAUGGCACACAAGUGUGGGGGGCAAUUUCAAAAUUUACAUGGUCGUGUGACCCUACUCAGAAAGCUACUCGGGUGAGGACAUGGGCUAAGACAUGGCUGUGUGUCCCUAGUUUGAAGGUUACACGACCUAAGACACAGGCGUGUGUUUCAACCGUGUGAGGCACAUGGCCUGACCACACUGCCAUAUGACUCCUUGUAUCCAAUUUUUUUUGUAAUUUUUUCCUAAACUUUCUAAAUAUUUUCAAUUUAGUCUUGAAUUUUUUCUAAGUUAUUUCUAGGCCUCGAGGGCUCGAUUUAGGGAAUAUAUGUAUGUGAAUGAUUGGUUCAUGAUAUGAUUAUGAUAAUGUAUGGAAUUUAUGUUUAAAUGUUUCGUUUGUAUGGUAAUGCUCCGUAAUUCUAUUUCGAUGAAUGAUAUGGGGUGUUACAUUAGUGGUUUCAGACCUACGAUUUAGUUGGUUCUCAGACUAAACGUAGCAUAUAUAGAGUCUAGAAAUACAUGUUAUUAUAUAAUCUGAGAUAGUGUGAUAACUCCUAACUCAAACUGAACUAUGUUUUUAUAUAGAUAAAAUGUCAUCCAACUGAGUCAAUUUCGACAAAGUAGAAAGUAAUGCGUAAGCCUCUGUUCACUAGGUAGCUUCUAGUGGCAGUAGGUUUGUAUCUGAGGGCUGAGGAGGAGAGGCUAAAGAAGCCUUCUUCUAAAUGAUGUCUGAAUGGUUUACUAAGUUUGUGAAAACAUAUCCUAUGGCUACACGACCUCCAACCCCAUUCGUACCCCAACUGGUCCCUAUAGUUACUCAGGAUUUGGAACCAAUGCGAGUCAGUAAGCCUCUAGUUGAUAAAAUCUGAACGUAUAGGGCGUAAGAGUUUCGAGGUAUAACUAAAGAUGAUCCAGGAGAUCCAAGUUCUGGUUAGAAAACACAUUGAGAUUUUUUGAUGAAUUAUCUGAUGCGAGCAUGCCCUGAAGCUCACCUAGCUCGAGCAAGGAUUCGAUGGUGCUGCCCAAAGGUCCUAUCACGAGAGCUCGAGCUAAGUUAUUCAAAGAGGCCAUUUCGGCCUUAACCACUCGAUUAUGGGCUGAAUCGUUGUUCGAACACAUUGAAAAAGCCAGAACCAGCUCAACGAGGAAUCAUUGCAACCUCUUGCAAGUCGACCUUAGCUUCUUUUCAGCUUUUCGAGCUCCGUUCCGCUCAAAUCAGCUCGUUUGAGCUUCUUUCAGCUUGUUUGAGCUCAUUUCAAUUUAUUCCCAGCUCAUUUACUUUAUUGCUAGAAUAAACUAAGUGAUUACUUUAAUUAGUUUAUUUUUGUUUCAGCUAAUUGAUUAGUUUAUUAGCUCAUUACAGCUUAUACAUGUUUUUAGAAUCUUUUGAGCUAGUUGAGUUAAUGUGUUUGUUAAAACCAUAUUAAAUAUGUCAUAGUUUCAUCAUAUGUUUAUUAAUGUUUAUUAAUGUGUCUUGAACUUGUCACCAUCUUGGUGUGGCAUUCACCCUAUCCCUUAUACCUUUGGUUCCUACUUUGUUAGGUAACGGAUCAAGGUCCCCUUCUUUUAUUCACUAAACCACCUUAAGCUAUAUAAGUCUCGGGUCACACUCUCAAUAGUGUUGGUUCGUUCUUGACGCUUGAGUUUGAUUUCCAUUCCACCUACUUCUCAAAUAACCUAUAUUUAAUUCUUUAUUAGCCCAAACUAUUCAAACCAUACUUAACCUACUUUGAACCUAAUUACACCCACUAUCCUAUUACUUAGUUGAUUACAAGCCUAAUACAAGUUUGUAACGAUACUUUUCGACGAUCGGGCAACUAAGAUGACUCGACUCACAUUAUCGAGGUGGAUUGCAUCAUUAUUGUGUACUCUAGUUGAAUGUUUGAAAUGUGUUAUUUCUUUAUUGAAAGACUCAGUAUAUCAGUGGUAGAAUACGUUGAUCACGGUUGUACCGAGGGAUCAAGUGAAUUUGGACUUCUUCCAGACACAGUUCAGAAAGAAAUAUGUGAGUCAGAGGUUCCUAGAUAAGAAAUGCAAAGAGUUUCUUGAAUUGAAACAAGGUCGUAUGUCAGUAGUUAAGUACGAUAGGAAAUUUGUGCAAUUUAGUAAGUAUGUUCAGGAAUGUGUACCAUUUGAGGCUGUCAUGUGUACACAAUUUGAAUACAGUCUAAAUGAGGAUAUGAAGUUUUUGGUUGGGAUUCUUGAGCUGAAAGAAUUCGUGGUUCUAGUUGAUAGAGCACACAAGUUCGAGGAACUUAGCAAAGCAAAAAGAAAAGCCCAUUUUGACGCUCUUGAUUUAGAAAAGCGACCUGUAGGAAAAUCAUUCUUGUCUCCAUUAAAGAAAUCAAAAGAAUUUCAUAGUCGUUCAUAAACUUCAAUGGGUUAUUCUUGAAAAGAUAGAAGAAAAUAACAUUCGAGCUCAAAACCUCAGGCUACGUCUGUAGCGAGCAUUGAUAGUGUCAGAAAUAACAAGCUUGAGUGUUAGCAAUGUAAUAGACGACACUUUAGUGAAUGCAGGUUGAAAGAUGGGUCGUGCUUUAAAUGUGGUUCCUAUGAUCAUUAUCUCUGAGACUAUCCUAAAAGGUCUGAUAAAGAAAAGGCUCAGAACACUCGUUUGAGUAACACAACUGUAAGAGAGAGACCACCCCAAAAUACUGGAAAUAUAGGUAACAGUCGUAGUGGGAUGAAAGAUUCUACUGUGAGAUUUGAGGUACAAGCACCAGCUAGGGCUUACGAGAUUCAUGCUCGAGAGGAAGAUUCCGCACCUUAUGUGAUCACUGGUACAUUUUCUAUCUUUGAUACUAAUGUUAAUGCUUUGAUUGACCCGGUGUCAACGCGCUCAUAUGUAUGCACAACUUUAGUGUUAGAUAAGAAAGUACCUUUUGAGUCUACUGAGUUUGUGGUUAAAGUAAUGAACCUUUUAGGUUAAUAUGUGUUAGUCGAUAAAGUCUGUAAAAACUGUCCUUUGAUGAUUCGGGGUUGCAACUAUCUAGCUGAUUUGACGUUAUUACCCUAUGAUAAGUUUAAUGUGAUUCUGGGUAUGGACUGGUUAACUCUGCAUGAUGCUGUUGUGAACUGUAGAUGAAAGCAUAUUGUGUUAAAAUGUCAAAAUGGUGAAAAGCUUCAAAUUGAAUUAAAUAGACUAGACGGUACAUUUAAUGUUAUUUCAGCUAUAACGGCACAGAAAUAUGUCAGAAAAGAUUGUGAAGCGCAUCUCACCUAUAUAUUUGAUUCCAGAGUUUCAGAAUUGAAGUUAGAAUCAAUUCUGAUUGUAUGUGAGUUCACAAAUGUAUUUUUAGAGGAAUUGCCAAGGUUACUGUGAAUCAGAAAGGUUGAGUUUGCUAUUGAAUUGAUGCUGAGAACAUCUUCAACAUUGAUAGCUCCAUAUAGAAUGACACCUAUAGAAUUAAAAAAGUUGAAAGCACUGUUGCAAGAGUUGACAGAUAGGGUUUUGUUGGGCCCAACUUUUCUCCUUGGGGUGCUCCUAUGUUGUUUGUUAAGAAAAAGGACAGGUUAAUGUGACUAUGUAUCGAUUAUCGAUAGCUCAACAAAGUCACGAUCAAGAAAAAGUAUCCAUUGCCAUGUAUCGAUGAUUUGUUUGACCAGUUAAAAGGUGCGAUGAUAUUCUCAAAUAUCGAUCUUUAUUUUAGUUAUUAUCAGUUACGAGUUAAAGAUUGAUGAGCUGAAAACUGCAUUUAGAACUAGGUACGGACAUUAUGAGUUUCUUGUGAUGCCAUUUGGUUUGACUAAUGUGCUUGCUGUGUUUAUGGACUUGAUGAAUAGAAUUUUUAGACCGUACUUAGACAAGUUUGUUGUUGUGUUUAUUGAUGACAUUUUGAUCUAUUCACGAGAUGAGAUAGAGCAUGUCCAACAUUUGAGAAUUGUUUUGCAAACCUUACGCGAAAAAUAAUUAUUUGCUAAGUUCAGCAAAUGAGUUCUAGCUCUGAUAAGUCAGAUUUUUGGGACAUGUGGUAUCAGCAAAUGGUAUUAGAGUUGGUCCGAGUGAAAUCUUAGCUGUGGUGGAUUGGAAACCUCUGAGAAAUAUGUUAAAGUAAAAAAAUUUCUGGGUUGAACCAGAUAUUAUAGAAGAUUUGUCAAGGGAUUUUCAAUGAUUGCUACAUCGUCAACGAAACUGUUGCAAAAAGAUGUUAAGUUUGGAUGGUCUGAGAAGUGUCAACAAAUUUUUAAUUAGUUGACAGCAUUGUUAACUGAGGCAUUUGUGUUGGUUCAGCCAGAGUCUGGUAAGUAAUUUGUGAAAUAUAAUGAUGCUUCAUUGAAUGGUUCAUGUUGUGUUUUAAUGCAAUAGGACAAAGUGUAGCGCAUGCUUCUCGACAGUUGAAAUCACAUGAAAAGAAUUAUUUGAUUUACAAUUUAGAGCUUGUAGCUAUUGUUAUUGCUUUAAAUAUUUGACGACACCUUUGUACAGAAAAAAAUGUCACAUCUUCACGGACCACAAAAGCCUAAAGUAUUUGAUGUCACAGAAAGAUUUCAAUUUGAGACAGCGUAGAUACUUCGAGUUAUUGAAAUAUUACGACUUGAUCAUUGAUUAUCAUCUGAGAAAGACUAAUGUGGUUGUUGAUGCUUUGAGUAGAAAACUUCUAUUUGCUUUACAAGCAUUGAAUACGUUGUUGAUGUUGAUUGAUGAUGGUUCAAUUUUAGCUGCAUUAAAAGCUAGACCGAUAUUUUUGCUAUAAAUAUAUGAGGCUCAAAAAAGUGAUGUUGAAUUGAUCACUAAACAAAAACAGAUUGAGUCUAGACCUAAUUCAAAUUUUCAUGUUGGUUCAGAUGACAGUUUGUACUUUAAAGAUAGAAUUUGUGUUCCGAGAAAUUCUAAUCUCAUUCAGAAGAUUUUACAGGAAGCUCAUAGUAGUAGCUUUUCAAUUCAUCUUGGUAGUAAUAAAAUGUAUGACGAUUUGAAAAAGAUGUAUUGGUAGCCAAGUAUGAAAUGAGAUAUUUCAGAAUUCAUAUCAAAAUGCUUAGUUUGUCAGCAAGUUAAAGUCGAGCAUCAAGUACCUUCUGGUUUGUUACAACCUGUGAUGAUUCCAGAGUGAAAAUGAGAAUGUGUUACAAUUGAUUUCGUAUCAAAAUUACCUCUAUCUCCGAGAAAGAAAGAUGUUGUGUAGGUCAUUGUAGAUCGAUUGAUGAAAUCCGCGCAUUUCAUUCUAGUGCGUAUGGAUUUUUCACUUGAGAGAUUGACAAAGUUGUAUGUUUCCGAGAUAGUUAGACUGCAUGGUGUACCAAUUUCUAUUAUCUCGAUUCUAGAGCAAGUUACAUGAAGCUCUGGGUACUCGACUGCAUUUUAGUACAUCAUUCAUCCAUAGACCAAUGGUCAAUCUGAGUGAGUAAUUCAAAUACUCGAUGAUAUGCUUCGAUGUUAUGUUUUAGAGUUCGGAGGUAACUGGGAGAGAUUUCUAUUGUUUGUUGAAUUUGCAUACAAAAACAGUUAUCAACUGUGUAUUAAAAUAGCACCGUACGAGGCUUUAUAUGGUCAAAAAUGCAAAACUCUAUUAUACUGGAUUGAGCUGAGCGAGAAAAAGUUAUUUGGUAUUGAUUUGAUUCGAGAAACUAAAGAAAAGAUCAAAGUGAUAUGUGACAGUUUGAAAGUGGCUUCUGAUCAUUAAAAAUCCUAUGUGGAUUUGAAAAGAAAAGAUAUAGAGUUUCAAGUCGGCGACAAGUUAUUUUUGAAAGUAUCACAUUGGAAGAAAGUUCUUCAAUUUGGCCAUAAAGGAAAGCUUAGUCUGCGAUUUAUCGGGCCAUAGGAGAUCAUUGAGAAAAUGGGUCCAGUAGCUUACAGAUUGCUUUACCUUCAGAGUUAGAAAAGAUUCAUAAUAUUUUCCAUGUAUGAAUGCUAUGACAGUAUCAAUCCAAUCCUUCACACGUAAUAUCUCUAGUUGAUUUUGAGAUUCAGUCGGAUAUGGCAUACAGUGAAGGACCGAUCAAAAUUCUAGCUUGGGAAGUCAAAGAAUUGUGAAAUAAAAGUAUAUCUUUAGUGAAAGUUCUCUGGCAACGACACAGAAUGAAAUAGGCUACCUAGGAACUGGAAUAAGCUAUGAAAGUGUGAUACUCGAACCAUUUUUUUGGUAAGAUUUUUGGGGAUAAAAAUUCUUUUAGGGGGAGAGUUGUAACAACCUAUUUUCAAUGAAAUCAAAAUAGUGGUUUUAGGACCACAAAUCUGAUGAGUAAAAUUUUAUUUUUAUUGUUUUAAUGUCUAUGGGAUGCUAGUAAGAUUUUAUUAAAAUUUUGUUAAGAAAUUUUGAUGUUUGCAUGAUUAAUUAAGUGAAAAGAAUUAAAUUGUAAAAAGUGUAAAAGUAGAGCUCCAUUAGUUAAAAGGGUCAAAUGGCUAUGAAUCUUUAAAGUGAGUAGACUUAGAUGGUAAUUAGACCAUUUCUAUAGUUAGUAGAUAUUCAUGGCAUGAUUUUAUUGAAAUUUUAUAAGAUUUUAAAGGUUAAGAAGGUAUAUAGGUAAAUAAACUUAAAACUAAAAAGAAUUAAACAAAGUAUCAUCUUUAUUUUCUUAACCUAAACCGAUUUUAAGGAAGAAAAAAUUUCAUGGAUAAAUGCUUCAUUUGGCCAAGCAUCUUUUAGUGCAUGUAAGUGAUUCUGAACCCUAGUUUUAAUGAAUUUUAUGUUGUUGAGGUCGUUUUAGCUUAAUCUAGCUAGCCCAGGGAUUAAUUUGCAAAACUGCUAAAGGUUGAGGGACUUGCCAUGAUUUUUUCGAAUGCUUUGUGAUGUUAAAUGAUAGAUUGUGAACCUUAGUUGGGAAAUAAAUAGGUUUUGUAAAGUGAUUUUUGAUGAAAUUUACAUAUAGUGAUUAAUUUGUAAAAAUAGUAAAAGUUUAUAUUAAAGUUAUGAAAUGAAGAUUGGUAUGGGUUGGUUUAAGUCCCUAGAGAAUUUAGUUAGAUUGAAUGGGGGAUGUAAAUGCUUAGAUUUCAAUUUGUCAGUUUAAUGAAUAAAUUUCGAAAAGUUAAAAUGUUAGGGGUAAAAUGGUAAUUUUAGGGUACACCAUUGAGAGCCUUACUAUGAAAUGCCACAAGGGCACUGUUUUCAGAAUUCGCUAUCUAAGUCAUUCCUUCAGACUGCGCCAUAAGGGCUUAUCUCUCAAAUUAUUGCCUCAAAGGCUAUCAUUGCAGGGCUCACCAGAGAGGCUAUCCAUUCAUAAUUCACCAUAAAGCUUUUUCUUUCAUGAUUCACCACAAAGACUUUCUUUUCAUAUUUGACUACAAAAGGCUUUUCUCUCAUAUUUUGUCACAAAGGCUUUCCUUUCAUAUUUCACCACAAAGACUUUCAUUUCCUGACGUGUUUAUGAUAUGAAUUUUCCUAAACUCACGUUAUGUGAGGUUUUCCCAUCAUCGUCCUAGGACAUGCAGAGAACCCCAUUGGGUGAUCACUGUAUUUUAGUUCUAUUUGGUGAUCACUACCGGGUGGAGGUGAAGGAGGAGUAGUAGAAACAUUGGAUAUAUAAAAGGGAUACAAAUCCCAUAUGAACCAACAGUUAGACUUUUAAACAUAAUCUUCCUGCUUCCCAUGGCAACAUCCUUCAUAAUAAUCCAUGGAUUGCCUUAGGCAGGAAUUGUAAUCCUUGUGUGAUAAAUCUAGAGUGCAUUGCAUAAGUGCAUGUAUAGUUUGGAAUGUUGUAAAAUUUACUUCCCCAAUUGUAUACUUAAUAAUAGAAGAGCCACUGGAAGCCUUUCUCAUCACUGUGUCCAUCAAGCUCCCAAAUAGUGUAGAAAAUAAUAAAAAAUAGGAAAAAAAACUCAAAAAAUUUUAAAAAUCAAGAAAAAAGUAUAAAAUUUAUAAAAUUUUUCCAAAAUUUAAAUAACAUACUUUCCUUUUUAAAAAACAUAAAAUACAAAAAUAGUGAAAUUUCAAAAAGAAAAAAAAUUGAAAUAAUAUUGAUAUAUAAAUAUGUCCAAUACUUUUUAAACACCUUGAAUAUUUUUCUAUUUUUAAUUUUUUUCAUAAUAAAAUUUUAAAAAAACAGAAAAUAGAAAAAAAAAGAAAAAGAAUACAAACAUGAUAAAAGAAGUUCCAUAAAUUAAAAAUAUAUAUCUUAAAAAUACAAUAAAUGUGCUUGACAAGCAUAACAUCGAUUGUUGUUAAAUAACAUGAUGUGCUGAGUUUAUGUGCAUGGUUACAUGAAAUCGGGUAAACCAGGAAGAUAGUUUUAAAAGGCCAUCAAAAUUGGGCAAUCGAAGUUGGUAAGUUGUUGUAGUAAAAGUCAUUGUCACAGAUGAAAAUUGAUUGACCAUCAUCAUUGGGAAACCUAAGAUGGUCAGUUAUUGAUAUGUGUUUUAAAGUGUCGAAUGAUGCUCGAGGGUGGAUACGAUGGACGGGUAGGAACUUAAAAAUUAAAAUUGUAUUGCAUCAUGAACAUAACCUAUACAUGCAUUGAUUUACUGAAUGUUCUUUACAUUAAGCUUAAUUUGCUAUGAUGUUAUAAAUUGAAUGCUUUACUGUUUGAACAAUUAUGUAUAUAAUAGUUUAAAAAUUAUACUCACGUUGAGCUAUAAUAAGCUCCCUCCCCUUUUCCUUACCUCUUAGGUAACAUAAAAAACUAUGGCUCAGAAUGGCAUCGAAGGAACCUCAGACUAGCAUCUUAUUUUUUAUUAUUUAAAAGUUUCAAUUAAAGCUUUCUUUAAUCAUUUUAUUUGUUUCUUUAUUGGGUUGUAAAUUAUUAAUUAUUUAUUCCUUUUAGAAUUGUGGUUUGGGAUUAUUUAUCUUAUUAAUUUUUAAGUAUGAUAUUUAGUUAAUACUCUGAUAAUUGCAUGUUAAUUGGUUUAGAAAACUAUUAUUUUUAUUAAUAUUUAUGAUGCUUUGCAAAAUACUUAAAUUGUAAAAUACUUAAAGUUUUGAUAAGUCUUUUUAAAACCUUAAGCAUUUUUCUCAAAACUUCACAUUAAUAAUAUUGUAAUUGGAUUACUAAGUAGAGUCGGUUUGGUUAAUGAAUGUUUUUCUUAAAAACAAAAGAGUGAUUUUCAUAUAAUUCAACUCAAGGAAAAGAAUGGCUUUACUAAAUCACUUUGGUGAUUAAUGUAACACCUUUGACUUAGCCGAAACUCCUAGGCUAGGUUAGGGGUGUUUCAAGUAUUGAAUUAUGGUAUGCUUUGUUAAUGUUGGCAUGUUUUGGUAAAUUUUUGAAAGGUAAAUAGACAUGUGAAAUGGUACUUUAUGUAACAUCCCUAACCCGUCUCUGUCGCCGAAUUAGGGUUACAGAGUAUUGCAGUAAAAUUCAAAACAUUCAGAACAUUUGAUUUCAAACAGAACAUUUAUUCAAUUGAAAUUAUAAGAAUAAUUUAGGAACAUUUUGGGAUCAAUUUGAAACAAAAUAGAAAAUUUUGGAAACAAGGGUCACACGGCCGUGUAGCCAGGCCAUUUGACAUAGCCCAGACCAUGUGGACAUUCGAAGUCUAGACACAUGGUCGUGUCCCAGCCUAUGUGUCCACUCGUAUGGGUAUUCAAAAUAGGGUCACACAAUCAUGUCGCAAGUCUUGUACCAAACUGUGUGUGUAUUCAAUGUUGGAUGACACAGCCGUGUAUCAGACCAUGUUACAAACUGACUUGAGACACAUGACCAUGUUGCAGAUCGUGUGAAACCUACACCUAAAAUAAUAUGGCACACGGUUGUGUGGAGUGGCUGUGUGCCACACACGGCCUUUUGACAACCCAUUUUCAAAAUUUUCAAUUUUUUUCAAAAUUUUCUGUUUUGUUUCAAAUUGAUCCCGGAAUAUUCCUAAACUAUUUUUAGAGCUCCGUAGGAUCGAUUUAAGGCCUAUAAGUGUAUUGUAUGCUAUAAAUGGAAUGUGUAAAUGAUUGUUAUAAUUUCAAUUGAAUAAAUGUUCUAUUUGAAAUCAAAUGUUCUGAAUGUUCUGAAUUGUAUUGUAGUACUUCGUAACCAUAAUUCGGCAAUGGAGACGGGUUAAGGGUGUUAUACUUUAGGAAUAUAUAUUGAUACAAACAUGUUAUAAUAUAACAAAUGUUUGAUUGGUAUUCUUAGUAAUUUGAAGAUGAGGCGUUGAUAUUAGAUUGAAUGAAGAAGUUGAUAUUAUGUAUGAAUAUAGGUGUUGUUUUGUUAACCUAAAAUGAUAGACUUGGUUUAAAUUUGAUUAAUGUUGAUAUUGUGGAGGUUGUGCCAAAUUGAGUAUGUGACUUGAUAAUAGGUUGAUGUGUGAAUGGAUUUUAUGUUUGCAUGAUUGAGUAGGAUGUGUUAUACAAAUGGAUGAUAUUGAAUAACUUAUAGGCAUGUUGGUAUAAUUCGAACCUAAAUGGAUGAAAUUGGUAUGUCUUGUUAUGAAAUGGUGUCAAAUUGAGACAUAUUGGUUUAGUUGAUUAAAGACUUGAAUUGUAUGCAUGUUUUGAAUUGGUUUAUGUAGGUUGGUAAUGUGCCUAUAAUCACAAAUUUAUGUUUGUGAUAGCUUGGGCAUGAAAAAGGGACCAAAAUGCAAGAUUUUAACAUAUUGGACACUAAGGUGUUGAUACCUUGGAUGAAGUAUUAGUACAUUGUAUUUUUCAAUUAAUUUUUCAAAUAUCGAAUGUCAAAAUAGUAUUGAUAUCGGAAUAAAGUAUCGAUACUUGAUACCAAGUUAUUGUUACUUUUACAAGGGUAUCAAUACUAUUGAACUUUUUUCUAAACUUUGGCAAAACAUAAUGCUAAAAUGGUAUUGAUACAAAUGUAAGGUAUCUGUACCUAGACUGAAAUAUCGGUACCUACAGAGAAAUAUCGACACUAUAAAUUUAGUAUCAAUACUUUUGAUUUAAAUUGGUUUUCUAAAACUUUGAAAAUAUUCCAAUUUAGCCCUUUUUCAAGCUUAGGACUGUAAAUGAGCUUUCAUAAGCUCAAGUAAGUUUUGGAAAAGAUUGUAUAAUGUAAUUAUGAAAUGUUUUAAUAAUAGUUGCUUGUUUUUUGGUGUAAAUCGAUCAUUAAAUGUUUAUAUCUAUUACAAUAUCCUAUAUCAUGCUUGAGUCAACAAAUGAGCAUGAGUCAACAAAAUAAGACUCAAAUAUAAUUGUGUAGUAUAUUAUGCAUGUUAAAGAAUGAAAAAUGAAUGGACAUAGUUGUGAUUUAAAUAUAGUAAUUGAAAAGAAUUAAGAGACUAUGAAAUUGGUUGACUUGAAUGUCAAUCAAAUGAGUUCGAAUGUAAAUUACUUUUUUAUACUUGCCUUGGGAAGGUGAAUACAUUUGUCAUAAAUCAUAUGAUAUUAAAUUAGGAACGGAGUACUUGUAUGUUACAUGUUGCGUAUGUUUAAUUACUUGUUUGAAUUAUAGAUUUAUCACUGAGUGUAAUUGCUCAGCAUAUGGUUUGGUUUUCUCUAUGCACAAGUUUUGUAUAUUUUUUAGCAAACAUUAUUUAGAUUUCAACGUCUAGAGGCAUCACCCUGACUCAACAAUAUUUGUAGUUUUAUUUGAUUUAAGUAUGAGAUGUACCUAGGCUUAGUCAUUUUGAUUAUAGUUAUGUGCUUAAACUCCUUAGCUUAAAUAUGUUGGUAUUUGGAUAUGGACAUGCAUUAUAAAUGUUUUUAAACUGGGUAUGCCAUACUAAGUUGCUAGUCAUCUCGAGGAAUUAGUUAUGAUUAAACAUGAUUUUAUAUAAGAUGCAAUAGCUACUUAUGUUAUAGUAUUUGAGUUUUUGUAAACUCGCAUUAAGCCUAAGACUGAUUGCAUUUCAUGUUAGAUGUAUAAUUGUUUGAUUUUAUCAUUAAAUUUUAUGAUUUGAAUGUGAAUUGAUCGUAGUUGAUCCAGUUAGAGGUGAGCGAAAUUCAAUUCGAUUCGAAAAAAUUUAAAAAAAUAUUUGAAUUUUGAAUUAUUUGAAUCCAGUUAAUCGAAUUAACUCAAAUUUUGUUUCAAAUUUUGAGUUCGAUUAGUUGAAUUUUCAAAUUUGAAUAACUCGAAUAAUUUGAACAAACUGAAUAUAAACUAUAUUUUUUAAUUUUUUUAAAUUUUAGGCUUUUACUUUAACCCAAUUUCCCCCCAAGCCCAAAUCAUUUUAUUUUAUCCUAUUUCCUCCAAGCUCGUUUGCCCACAAGUCCAUUUUCCUAAUUCCCCCCUCAAAUCAAACUCUUGCUCCAGUAAACUCCAUCAUCCAAAUCAAUUUUCUUCUUCUCUCUCAAUUUCCAUUCAAUUCAAACCCCAAAAUCUAUUUUUUUCUCAAAAAACCCUAAAUUAAACGCUAACUUCAUUAUUCUCAUUCUUAUUCAAAAAUCUCUAAAAUAAAUCAUUCGUCCUUCUUCUUCUUCUUCUUAAUUAUCAAUUCAUUCAAACCCUCAAACCAAAAUCCUUACCUCAAAAUCAAGUUGUUCCUUUUGACCAAUGUACUUUGUUCUCUUCCAUUUUAAGCUUGAAUUUUCUACAUCUUUAAGGUUUGUCUCGAAAUGUUUUUAAUAGUUGAAUGAUUUUCACUCUAUUUUCAUCUCUCUAUUUUUUACUGUUUAAAUUCAUGAUAGUUGUUUUUUGGAAUUAUUUUUCAUCUUUAAACACUCUGUUUUUUCCUUCUCCACUUGCCUGUUUGCUGUUGUUUAAUGGGGCUCAAUUAUCAUCAUACUAAAAAUAAUAAAAAUAGCUUCUAUGCAAAUUUUGAGUGGCAUUCAUUAAAACUUUAAUGUUUAUGCUACUCUAGUUAAUUUUUAAAAUGAAAGAAUUCUUAACUUGUUUGAGUGUGGAUGUCCUACAGUUUUGUUUUAGAUAAGGAUAUCCCAUUUUUUUAAAGUGAAGGUUGGUUUGCUGGUAUCUCCUGGUGAAGUCAUUUUUAGCUUUUUGGCUUAUUCUUCUUAGUGAUGUGAAAUAAACAUCCAGACACAUUUUUCUUAGAUACUUAUACCUAAGUCCUAAUUUAGGCGACAUCUACUAGUUAUCUUCUUGAUAAGAUAUUUGAAAGAAAUUAAUUAAUGAAAUGCUAGGCAUUUACAGUUGUAGGAUCAGUAGUUCAGUUAGGAUUCUUUUGUGACCUCAAACUCGACUUGGGCUUUUUCAUCUUUUGACAAUCAGUUAGCAAUCGAUUUUGGGUGCUUAGCAUAAUAUCAAAGCCUGGGGAUUGGACAUGCAUUUCCUUGUAUGUUCUUUGUUGAUUUAUGGUUAUAGUCUGCUUGUUUUGCAAUUGAUUCAGUUGGCAUUUGACCUACAUAUAUAAGUGGUGUCUUCAGGCCGAUUUCAUUUGGAUGUUAUUGUGGCCUUAUAUUUAAAUUGGAGUUAUUUUCUAUUGUCUUAUUAAUUUUAGGAUAGAGGCUUUACAAGCUAUCACAUGUAUGUUGAAUGCAACUAUGAAAGGGGAUUAUUUGGCUUAAAGCAUAGUUUAUUUCCAGUUCUACAUGUUUGUUUCUAUUUUCCAGUUGCUUGAGCCAAGGAUUAUAGGUUGAGAAUAUGAGUAGUCUUUAGACUGUUAAUGUGCUUGGAGAAAAAACUUUGAAUUGGAAAGAUUCGUAGGUGUAUAGAUUGCAACUCUUGAAUUUUUCCUACUUGUUAUUGAAGUUUGUGAUACCAUUUUCUUGCCACUGUAACCUAAGAACCAAUUUAUAAAUAAACUCCAAAGAGUGUCAGCUUUUUUUUAAUUCAUUUUAUUGAUUUUUAUUGCAUUGAGGGAGAUGAGGACAUGUCUGGUAUAUCUAAAAAAUUUUGUAAUAAAAGCUUCAGCUUACUCUUAGUUAGAUACUAAUGAUAAUUUUCACCAUAUAGGCCUUAGUCUUAAAUAAAUGCAUGCUUUUAGGUGCUGCAUUCCACAACAUCAUUAUUUGGUCACCCUACAUUUUAAAAUAAUUUUUUUUAUUAUAUAUGAAAAACUAAUUUUUUCUUAUAUCAUUAAUAAAUUUAAUCUUCCAUUAGAUAAAUCAAUUAUUGGUCAUGGUUAGUAAUUUCAAUAAAUGUUUACUUGUAGAUGAGUGAUCCAAAGCGAAAUGAUUCAACUCAAAGUUUACGAUAUUCUUCCCCAAGUAGAGAUGAUCAAACAACAACCAAGGAAAAUGUUCGAAAAAAUGUUACUCCAGGGGCAGCUUCUUGGAACCAUUUCAUCAAAUUUGUGACUAAAGAGGGGGAGAAAAGAGCAAGGUGCAAUGCUUGUGAUGUUACUUACACCAUGAAAUCAACUUUGAGUUCUAUAAUGAAUUUGAAUAACCAUUUGAAAACAUGCCUAAAAAGACCUUGAGGUAAUAUUUUUGACCCAAAGAAAUCAGAAUUAGCAGUUGUGAAGGUUAGCCAAGAAACAAUGGAUUUAUCAACUUAGGUGUUUGAUGAAGAUUCGUUAGAAAUGCAUUGUUUCGUAUGAUAAUUGUGGAUGAAUUGCCUUUUAAAAUUGUAGAAGGAGGGGGUUUCAAAUACUUUUUUUCUAUAGCAUGCCUACGGUUUAGUCUUCCAUCUCAUUGGACAAUUAGAAGGGAUUGUCUUGAUUUAUUUAACUCCAUGAAGAGUGUAAUGAAGAAUUAUUUUGAAAAAGAUAUAAGUAGAGUUUGUUUGACGACAGACACUUGGACUUCAUUGCAUAGGAUAUCUUACAUGGUUUUAACAGCACAUUGAGUGGAUGAUGAGUGGAGGUUGCAAAAAAGGAUUAUAAAUUUUUGCCUAUAUCUACUCAAGCCCUUGAAAAAUGUCUUCGAGAUUGAAGGAUUGAGAGGGUCUUCACUAUUACGAUUGAUAAUGCAUCUGCCAAUAGUGUUGCCAUUGAAUAUUUGAGAAAGAAAUUGAAUCAUUGGAAUGUUUGUGUUACAAAUGGAAAAUUUAUGGUUAUGAGAUGUGUUGUACACAUUCUUAAUCUCAUUGUGCAGUACGGUAUUAAGGAUGCUUCUGUGUCUGUGGAUCGAGUUAGAUAUGCUGUGAGGUAUAUAAGAGCAUCAUCAUUGAGGUUGAAAAAAUUCAACAAAUGGGUAAAAGAAUAAAUGAUAGAUAGUAAGGCUUAAUUGUGUUUAGAUCUGCCUACUAGAUGAAACUCAACAUAUAUGAUGUUAAAGGUGGAAAAAAAUAUGAGUUUGCAUUUGAAUCAUUUGUACGUGAUUAUCAUAAUUUUUUUUCUUAACCUUACUGCUAGAGAUGGAGUUCUUAUAAUUGAUGAUUGGGAAAUUGUUUGAAGAGUUAUAAAAGUAUUAGAGUCUUUUUAUCAUCUGACACUGAAGGUGUCCGGAUAUUUGCAUGUUACCUCUCAUUCACUUUUUGAAGUAUUGAUGGAUGUGCAUUGUCUUUUUUAUGGGUGGCAAGAUUGUGGAGAUCUAGACAUAAUUUCUAUGACUUCCAAAAUGAAAGUUGAGUAUAAUAAGUAUAUUAGAAAGCAAAUCUAAGUUGGAUAGAUAUUUGGGUGAUGAUGAUGAAGUAAACAAUUCAAGCUUAUUUGAUUUAUUAUUGUGGUAGAAAAUGAACAGUCCUAGAUUCUCUGCUCUUACACAAAUGGCUUGAGAUAUUCUUGCUAUUCCUAUCUCAACAGUUGCCUCAAAAAGUGCAUUUAGCACAUGUGAAUGUGUUCUCAAUAGUUUUAGAAGUUCUUUAACUCCUUUCAUGGUCGAGGAUUUGGUUUGCACAUAAAAUUGGCUUCAGAAAUCUAAUGAUGUGGAUUCUUCCAAUGUAUAAAAUAAAAAUUCCAAUGGCUUUUGCUACUCUAACCGUCCCGACCACAAUUUUUCCUUUUUUCUAGGCAUUUCAUUUCGCCUUGAAAUAAGAAAUUGUAUUGAUAAUAGGUAUCAAAAAAAGCAUAUUAACUAAAAUAAAAGAGUAAAUAGAAAUGGAUAAAUAAAUAGUGGGUUCCAUCGUUUCUAUGGUUACUUCUUAAACGGUGAGGUCCUCUCUAUACAUCGGAGCUCGUUCCUUCAUUUAAUUGGUAACUUGUGCAGUUCACACUUUUCGGCUCUACUCAUAAAUUUUCUAGUAAUAGAUCUUUCACAACGAGAUUUAUCUUCUACAGUAACGGUAUGUAAGGAUGAAGAUUAAUUAGGCAGCUGACUCUGUUAGUUCGUUCUUUGUAAGAGUCGAAGCAUAAUCUUUUUUCUUUUUAAAUAGGAUUUUCCCCGCUUAAUGGAUAAGCAUUUGCUAACAAUGGGAAUUUUUUUCUCAUCUUAAAUUCCAAGAUUGGAUUUGUGCCAAUGGAAACCAUAAAUUUCAUACACAAUAGAAGGAUAUGGUAGAUCUAUCUUUUUUAGAUAGUGAACGGACAAACCCCAUUCUAUUCACUGGUACGGAUCAUUGAUACUAAAAAAGUUGUUUCUUUUUUCUCAGCCCAUGAUCUGAACAAGUCGCACAUACACCCUAGUACAUGUUCCUCGACGCUGAGGACAUCCCCCAAGAGCAGGGGAUUUCGUGACAUUUCUAAUUGGUUGUCUUGCAUUUCUAAUAAGUUGUUUAAUAGUUGGCAUACUGAAUCAUAUACAUAAUAGACUGGUUUAGAUCAAUCCUAACCAGAUGGUUUUGAAUUACUUCUUUUUCUAUUUAAUAGAUUAAUAAAAUAUUAACCCCUUAGGCUUAAGUUAAGAAGGAAAGGAAGAAGAGGGAUUAAAUCAAUCUUAAUUAAAUUGUGGAUUGGUGUUAAAUUGUUACUAUUGCUAUUUGUUAUUUAACUUAUUUAACCGCUACAAGAUCCACCAUUCCAUGAGCUUGGGCUUCUGUUUGAAGAUUAUGUUGAUGAACUUCAGACCAUGGAAGAUGGUAAUAUAUAAAUUUUAAUUUAUAAAAUAAGCUUUUGUGUUAUUUAUAUUAGCAAACAUUCCCAUAAUUUAACCAACACUUUUGUUUUUAAAUUUGCUAGACUUAUCCAAAAUACUUGAAGAUCAAGAAGGUAAUAUACUUAACAUUAGUUUAUAAAGUUAAAUGUUUAUUUAAUUUAAUUUUGCAAUCUUUUAUCAUUUAAAUAACUCAUUCAAUACUUUUACUAGAUGUUUCAAGAUUAUCAACGGUGUUUGAAGCACAAGAAGAAACUUAAACUAUUCUAUAAUGGUUUCUAAAGUGAUGUGUUAUUGUUAUUAGUUUGGUGUGUUAUUGUUGCUGGUUUUGGACUUUUGUUGUGUUCUUUUUUCUUUUUCUUUUUUAGACUGGUGUAGGUUUCUGUUGUAUUUUGGACUUUUGCUUAUGUUUGAAGCACAAGAAGAAACUUAAAUGAUUUGAUUCAAUUCGAAUUUCAUCUCACUCGACUCGAUUCGAUAAAAUUUCAAAUUGAGUUAGGAUGAUAAAAUAAUAUUCGAAAAAUCGAUUAACUCGAAAAUUUUUGAUUCGAUCGAAUGUUCACCCCUAGCUUCGACAACGAAUGUGACACACCGUAAUUCAGACUCGAUGAUCAGGUAGAGUAUUGGGCUGUUACACACUGCACUUCUUUUAUAUAUUUAAUUGCAUUUUUUAAGCUCUAUUGCAUGUAUGUCGGGGUGUAGUCAAGUUAUACAUUUUAAUUUUUUUCUAAUUUAAAACCAAAUAAAAAUGUUAUUAAUUAAAAACUAAAUUCAAAUUGUAUAAAAUAUAAUCAAAUUAAACUUUAUGGAUCAUGAUAUAAUUUCUAAUUUUUUUAAAUAGUUUAUUUUAGUAAGUGAAACAAUUAUAGAGAUUAAAUAAAUUGUAUUAUUAAAAAAUAAUAGAAUAAAUUAAAAAUCCAACUUCUUAAAAAGUUUAAUGAAAUAAAUUUUGUAUCUUAAUAUUCUACUUAAAUCUAUGAUUUUCGUCAUCAUCUUUCAUCUCGAUCUUCUUAUUUAAUCUAUUGUUAUCUAGAUCUGCCACGGUCAAUUUUUGGUUUAGCCGACCCAUUGACAGAUCUAAUAUUCUUUGAUUAAUAUUACACUUUUGAUGCAAUUAAUUUCUUUGGAGUUGCAAAUUACUUAAACAAUAAUAAAAAAAUUGAAGAUAUGUAUUAAAUUAUAAGUAUAAUACUAAUUAGAAAAACAAUAUACAGUAGAAAUAAAAUUAAUAAGAAAAUACAAUUAUAAACUGAAGCUUUCAAAUUAGAGAAUCAUAGGGAAAAUGAAAAAAUGUGAGUUCAAAACAAAUUUAGUAUAAUAUGUAUUAUAAACUAAAUAAAUGUGUGAUGAUGAUGAAUGAAUAUUAUAAGUUUAUCUCAUCAUUGAUUAAAUUGAUUUUCAUUACUUUCCGGUGUCUUUGUCAUUUGACUACGAGUUGAAAUUUUCUUUUCGAACAAUCAUUAUUUUAGUACUCCAUUAUUUUUUAGACACAUCAAACAUACCAAUAAAAUAAUUUUCAUUUAUUUAAUGUUGUUAUAAUGAUAAAUCUUAAUUUCAAUUCAUAUAUAACUAUAACACUAAUUAAAUCAUAAUUGAUUAAAAAUAAAAUAUUUUUAAUAAUUAAUAUAGUCAAUUGUGUAGUUGAAACCAAUAAGAACUCUACAAAAAAAUUAUUUAUAUGAUUUAAUCUAUUAUUUUUAUAGAUGAUUUUAUCUAUUUCUAUCCAAGUGUCCUAAAUGGAAGCUUGUUUGUUUAUUAUUGCUUUAUAAGGGAUCGAAAUGCUAAAAAUCAACACAAAAAAUCAAAUUUGUUAUUCUUAGAAAGGGAUAGGAAUCAGUAAAUUUACAGUUUAUACAGUUCUUUUUGUUGCUAUGUAUACAUGAACCAAAGAAUUUCUGAAUUUCUAGACAAAGAUACAAAAAAAUAUGCAAUGCAAGUACUUAGUAAGUACCCAUCUUCGAACUUCAUCGAGGAUCUAGUUCAAAAAUGGAAGCUUCAUUGACUAAGACUUGAACGGUUUCUCGUUUAGAUUGAUUGGAGAGUGAGGAUGACUCAGACUUCGUUUCUGUCUCCAUGGUGGAAUGCAUGGAAAAUGCAGGUCUCGAUGGCACUGGAAGAGACAUGGAAUAGCUACCAAGCAUGAGAACCACAGAGGCCAUGGUUGGUCUGUAAGCAAUAUUGUCU